AUCCGUCGAUUUUAGAAAUCGUGAGGGUUCAAGUCCCGUUUUUCCCCAAAA
rnacentral:tRNA from 1 species